GGCUUCCCUAGUCCAGGUUCUCUCCGGUGCCCACGCAGUCUGCAACCCAGACCCACCUCCGAAUGCUAGUCAUCUCAAACGCACAAAUCUGGAAUGCAGAGGGUUAAAGGGACACAGUGAGGAACCUAGGACCCGUGGCAGAGGUGAAAUGAGAUCUCACGACAGCCCGCUCCCUCCACAGCCCAACUCUCUUUCCAAGAAAGAGGACCUGCGCUAACUCCGGGAAUCCUAGUUACCACCUAGAGAACAUUGCCACAGAGACAGACUCCAGAAAUAGUACAUGGAUUCUGUCCCAGAGUUUACCAGU
rnacentral:lncRNA from 1 species